rnacentral:rRNA from 1 species
CCUACGGGUGGCUGCAGUGAGGAAUAUUGGUCAAUGGACGAGAGUCUGAACCAGCCAAGUAGCGUGAAGGAUGACUGCCCUAUGGGUUGUAAACUUCUUUUAUAUGGGAAUAAAAUGUUCCACGUGUGGGAUUUUGUAUGUAACAUAUGAAUAAGGAUCGGCUAACUCCGUGCCAGCAGCCGCGGGAAUAAGGAGGGUCCGUGCGUUAUCCGGAUUUAUUGGGGUUAAAGGGGGGGUAGGUGGAUUGUUAAGUCAGUUGUGAAAGUUGGCGGCUCAACCGUAAAAUGGUAGUUGAAACUGGCAGUCGUGAGUACAGUAGAGGUGGGCGGAAUUCGUGGUGUUGCGGUGAAAUGCUUAGAUAUCACGAAGAACUCCGAUUGCGAAGGCAGCUCACUGGACUGCAACUGACACUGAGGCUCGAAAGUGUGGGUAUCAAACAGGAUUAGAUACCCCAGUAGUC